rnacentral:rRNA from 1 species
CAUGCAAGUCGAGCGGGGAAGGGUAGCUUGCUACCUAACCUAGCGGCGGACGGGUGAGUAAUGCUUAGGAAUCUGCCUAUUAGUGGGGGACAACAUUCCGAAAGGAAUGCUAAUACCGCAUACGUCCUACGGGAGAAAGCAGGGGAUCUUCGGACCUUGCGCUAAUAGAUGAGCCUAAGUCGGAUUAGCUAGUUGGUGGGGUAAAGGCCUACCAAGGCGACGAUCUGUAGCGGGUCUGAGAGGAUGAUCCGCCACACUGGGACUGAGACACGGCCCAGACUCCUACGGGAGGCAGCAGUGGGGAAUAUUGGACAAUGGGCGGAAGCCUGAUCCAGCCAUGCCGCGUGUGUGAAGAAGGCCUUUUGGUUGUAAAGCACUUUAAGCGAGGAGGAGGCUACUCUAGUUAAUACCUAGAGAUAGUGGACGUUACUCGCAGAAUAAGCACCGGCUAA